GCAUCUCUGCUCACUCAGACCACAACCCCAUGGGUAGGAUGCAACACUCUAGUGAUGGAGAUGUAGAGUUUUAUAAGUAAGGGGAGGGAGCAGACUAAGGUGAUUAGACCACAAUGUAAGGGUGGUCUGUAAAUCUUUAAACCAUGAAGAUGGUUGGAUAGUUCAGGAAUUGGGCUUCUUUUUACUAUGGGCAGUUCUUUCAUUCAGAUGCCCACUUCGCACUGGAGCUGUACAUGUGUUGGCUGGCUGGCAUGAUUUGCUGUUGGUGAUGAGGCGGUCAGGGUGACGUUGCAGGGCUAUGGUCGGCUCUCUGUGAGCUCAACGUUUAGAUUUGCUCUGUAUGGUUUGUACCCUGAAUAAUCUAGAUAAUUGUAAAAUGUAGACACGGUUUUGUAUUGAAUGUUUCCAGGAUUUUAGGUUUAAAGUUGUUGUGGGACGUACAUGGUAGUUUGGUUCUUUGUAUGGUUUUGAGUGAUAUAACUUGUACACACUGGGUGCAUAAUAAUGUAAAGGUACACUGAAUAGUAGAAAUGACCAACAGCAACAAACGGAUCUCCUCAAGGUAAGUCUGUUGGCUGUGUUUCAAUGAAGACCAUUGCUGGACUUCAGGAUCUUCCUCCGUUCAGCUCAAGGUGAGGCGCUGGUUCUGUUUUUUCUUUGGUUGGUUCCGGCCGGAAUGUUCGGAUUCCAGUCGGACGGUUUGUGCUUCCCGCCGUGGAAGGUUCUGAGUGAGGUCACUUGAUUUAGUCCCAAUGGUUAGCAUAGAACGCUGUAGUCUUGACAACCAUUAGAAACCACCUGGCAGUUAGUUGGACGGGAGUCCCCUGAGGGAAUCUGGCGGAACGUUCUGGAUUGUAUUUGCGUAACCUCGAGCCGUUGCCAACGGAUACUAUUUUUCCUAAACCUAACCCUUUUUGAUAUUAAAUACAUACUGACACGUACGUCGUACAAUAUGUUGAUAAUUUCCGAUGGUUGCGCCGUACUUUUAACCACGACGUUGCGGGACUCUCAGUGCGCACAAAACAGCGUUCUACUUGCGGGCCCAUUUUUGACAUCAAGCGAGGGCUGAAAAUCAUUUCAAGGUGGAAGAUAAUUUGACAUUUCUUCAACGGAACCCAGCACCUGAAUAUGGCUGAGUAUAUUUGAUUUAAUAUCGAUAAUGCUUAGUGUUCUUUGUUACUUCAGCUUUUGUACGUUCUAAAUAUCUGCUGUCAUUAAUUGCCACAGAAGUUAAAGCCUACCCAAUGGAAAGACGUUAAACAACGACUUUGGUGCAGAGUUACCAACUGGAUAAUAUCAAAGCUAAAAUAAUGGCCGUCAUUCCCACAUGUUACAGUAGAAGAUACUCUAGAACUGUACAAGGUUAAAAAGGUAACAUGUAGUUUGUCCCAAGGUGUCUGCCUCCUCACCCAGAGCAAGACCUCCACCUCCUCCCCCAGAGCCAGACCUCCACCUCCUGUCAGAAGUCCUCCAGAACAGGGUGGACCGGAGACUGAGGCUGGAGACCAGGGGCCUGCAGCACCGGACCAGA
ensembl:lncRNA